rnacentral:rRNA from 1 species
AUUGAACGCUGGCGGCAGGCCUAACACAUGCAAGUCGAGCGGAUGAAGGGAGCUUGCUCCUGGAUUCAGCGGCGGACGGGUGAGUAAUGCCUAGGAAUCUGCCUGGUAGUGGGGGAUAACGUCCGGAAACGGGCGCUAAUACCGCAUACGCCCUGAGGGAGAAAGUGGGGGAUCUUCGGACCUCACGCUAUCAGAUGAGCCUAGGUCGGAUUAGCUAGUCGGUGGGGUAAAGGCCUACCAAGGCGACGAUCCGUAACUGGUCUGAGAGGAUGAUCAGUCACACUGGAACUGAGACACGGUCCAGACUCCUACGGGAGGCAGCAGUGGGGAAUAUUGGACAAUGGGCGAAAGCCUGAUCCAGCCAUGCCGCGUGUGUGAAGAAGGUCUUCGGAUUGUAAAGCACUUUAAGUUGGGAGGAAGGGCAGUAAGUUAAUACCUUGCUGUUUUGACGUUACCAACAGAAUAAGCACCGGCUAACUUCGUG